GGAGCUUUCCCAUAUGGUCGACCUGCAGGCGGCCGCGAAUUCACUAGUGAUUAGAGUUUGAUCAUGGCUCAGGACGAACGCUGGCGGCGUGCUUAACACAUGCAAGUCGAACGAUGAAGCUGGAGCUUGCUCCGGUGGAUUAGUGGCGAACGGGUGAGUAACACGUGAGCAAUCUGCCCUUGACUCUGGGAUAACUGCGGGAAACUGUAGCUAAUACCGGAUACUUUCCUCGGUGGGCAUCCACUGGGGAAGAAAGAAUUUCGGUCAAGGAUGAGCUCGCGACCUAUCAGCUAGUUGGUGAGGUAAUGGCUCACCAAGGCGACGACGGGUAGCCGGCCUGAGAGGGUGACCGGCCACACUGGGACUGAGACACGGCCCAGACUCCUACGGGAGGCAGCAGUGGGGAAUAUUGCACAAUGGGCGCAAGCCUGAUGCAGCAACGCCGCGUGAGGGACGAAGGCCUUCGGGUUGUAAACCUCUUUUAGCAGGGAAGAAGCGAAAGUGACGGUACCUGCAGAAAAAGCACCGGCUAACUACGUGCCAGCAGCCGCGGUAAUACGUAGGGUGCAAGCGUUGUCCGGAAUUAUUGGGCGUAAAGAGCUCGUAGGCGGUUUGUCACGUCUGCUGUGAAAUUUCGAGGCUCAACCUCGAACUUGCAGUGGGUACGGGCAGGCUAGAGUGCGGUAGGGGAGAUGGGAAUUCCUGGUGUAGCGGUGGAAUGCGCAGAUAUCAGGAGGAACACCAAUGGCGAAGGCACAUCUCUGGGCCGUAACUGACGCUGAGGAGCGAAAGCAUGGGGAGCAAGCAGGAUUAGAUACCCUGGUAGUCCAUGCCGUAAACGGUGGGUGCUAGCUGUGGGCCACAUUCCACGUGGUCCGUGACGAAGUUAACACAUUAAGCACCC
rnacentral:rRNA from 1 species